UAGGCGGGCGAUAAAAAUUAGCUAUUCACAUUAUAUGAAAUGGCGUAUUUCACUAAGUUUAAAUACCUAAAAGAUUGUCGUUCUAGUUUUUUUUCCCACAUGGAUUCGUUGGCGAAUUUUUCCAUUCACUUUUCGAAGAACAUUGUCUUGAAUUUUCCGUGCCUUUAGAAAAUACAAAUGCGAGAAUCUUAGAUAACAAAUUGAUUAUUUUACAAGUGCAAUUGCGAAUACCGUAAAGAAGAAUUUUAUUAAAUUUUUCUAGUGUGAAAUUUAAUCUUGUCACGAUGCGGUGUUGAAAAGUACCGAUGCAUGGAUGGGGCAAUGGAAUAACCGCAGUCAAUUGAUGUCGAUUGAUUUCAUUAAGUUUCUACGCCUUUUCGAUGUAUUGUAAAUUGGCGUAACUAGCGGUGAUGAUAUAGCCUCGAUAUAGAAGACUCUUUUCUCAAUUGUUAUAGAAUCAUUGCCUCUAGAAACUCAUAGAUACAUACAAUGUCCGUUACUCAUUAUUGAAAACCGCUGGCUGGAAUACUUCAAGCAAUAUGGGAGCCAUAAAACUUGAUAAAAAUUAGUAAAGGAUUCCUUUGGAAGAUAACGGGCUUUUUUAAAUACAAAUCUUUUCGUCUACAUCUCAAAACACCAAUUAGCAUUAAAAAGUUCCAAUUUUUUAAAAGGACUGCCCACGAAAGCUGAUUUAAGCCACCAUAAAAUGUCUUUGAGGUGGUGUUUAUAACUCCAAUCAAAUUUAUUUAAUUUUUGGCAAAUAGCUGAAAUAACCAUAAGAGCAGUAAUUGCUUUACGGAUAUUUGCAAAAAACAAUCUUGAUCACACCGGAUAAACUUCAUAUCUAUUGUCAUCAGGUAAGUCAUUAGAGACGUGAUGACAUAUGUUUGGAAUAAAGUGAGAAAAAAAUUCUACUGAACAUAUGGUAAACAAAUUGAAUCUUUCUACGUAUACAUGUGCUUUAUUUUGUAAUUUGCUAUAUUGUUUGAUGUAGGAACAAAUAAGAUUUUUAUUGUCUCUAUCAUCUUGAUAUCACACAUCUUAAUUAAAGUGUCAUUUAUCACGUCUUUUAACGAUUUAAUUAAUGCGU